GGUUCCAUAGUGUAGCGGUUAGCACAUCUGCUUUACACACAGAAGGCCCUGGGUUCAAGCCCCAGUGGAGCCA
rfam:Pteropus alecto contig101353, whole genome shotgun sequence.